rnacentral:rRNA from 1 species
AUUGAACGCUGGCGGCAGGCCUAACACAUGCAAGUCGAGCGAGCGGCGGACGGGUGAGUAAUGUCUGGGAAACUGCCUGAUGGUGGGGGGUAACUACUGGAAACGGUAGCUAAUACCGCAUACCAUCGGAUGUGCCCCGAGGGGAUUGGCUAGUAGGUGGGGUAACGGCUCACGUAGGCGACGAUCCCUAGCUGGUCUGAAGGGAUGACCAGCAAGACGGGAACUGAGGCAGGGUCCAGACUCCGACGGGGGGCAGCAGUUGGGAAUAUUGCACAAUGGGCGAAAGCCUGAUGCAGCCAUGCCGCGUGUGUGAAGAAGGACUUCGGGUUGGAGAGCACUUUCAGCGGGGAGGCGUUACCCGCAGAAGAAGCACCGGCUAACUCCGUGCCAGCAGCCGCGGUAAUAC